AUUGCCUCAGAAUAACCAGAAGGUGGAAUCACUGCCGCGCCGUUUGGUUCAGACAGAGGCUGAAAUCAAAUUUCGGAAUCUGUUUGAGGGAAAGGAACGGUUUUUAACGGUUGUUCCUUUCCUAGAUAGCUUCCAAUAAAA
rfam:Punica granatum cultivar Dabenzi scaffold109, whole genome shotgun sequence.